UAUAGCCGUUGAAACAUCGAUUCCCGUACGAUCAUAGAAAUUAAGCAACGUCAAGCCUGGUCAGUACUUAGAUGGGUGACCGCUUGGGAAUACCACGUCUUGUA